AGUGAUAGAUGCUUUUCUUCUAGAGCAUUGCCUUGUCUGUCUCUGGGCUUGUGUUUGUAAAUGGAGGAACUUCUGUACAGCACUAAAUGGCAGAUGAUUCGGCCACUAAGUGUAAAUAGCUCAUAUGAUUUGAGAAGCAUGAAUAAGAAGAAAAACAUUACUAUUUAUUGAGCUCUCACUAUGUGCUAGGUCCUGUUCUGGGCAUUUUUUUUCUUUUUUGUUUUCUAGGGCUGCACCAUGGCAUAUGGAAGUUCCCGGGCUAGGGGUUGAAUCAGAGCUGCACUUACUGGCCUACAGCACUGCAGCUUGCUGCUUGUGGCAAUGCCAGAUCCUCAAGCCACUGAGGGAGACCAGGGAUCGAAUCUGUAUCCUUAUGGAUACUAGUCAGGUUCUUAGCCCACUGAGCCACAACGGGAACUCCUCGAGGCAUUGUAAUGUAUUAACUCAUUUUAUUCUUCUUUUUGGGGGGUGUUCCCAGUCUAGAGGUCUAAUUGGAGCUACAGCUGCCGACCUGUGCCACAACCACAGCAAUGCCGGAUCCUUAACCUACUGAGCGAGGCCAGGAAUUGAACCUGCAACCUCAUAGUUCCAAGUUGGAUUCGUUUUCACUGAGCCACAACAGAAACCCCUAACUUUCCCCAGAUCUUUUAAUUGGCAAUGCGGGAGCCAGAAUUCUCCAAAACAGUCUGUAUGCUGCGGAGAUCAUGUUCCAAAUUAUGCUGCUGAUAAAGUUUAUUUCUACUCCAACAGUUUUUUCUUUUAUUACCAACAAACAGAUCCGAACUUGUUUUCAAAGAGUUUACAAGCAUUUAAAGGAUUAGAUGACAUAGUGGUAGAUAUUGAAAAUCUUACCUUUCAUUAUUUACCUUUUGAAUGGCAAGCUCUGAAUUGGAGUAGCUUUAAAAAUACCCGAGAUAUGUGAGUGCAGACUUUAUUUGUGCGAUCACAGUUCUUAUCUCUCUCGAUUUGGGCAUCUUUAGGUCUGAGAAGCUUGAUUUCCUUGUAUGAAGCAGUUAUUGUCAUUACUCUGUCAUAUUCUGGAAAGAAUUCCUAUUCUUUAGGCCUAGCAUUCCCUAAGUGUUCUGUUGGUUAUGAUGUUUUCAAACAGCUCCUUUAGUGGAUGGAUUAUAGAAAUGAGGGGUCCUUGAGAAGAGAUAAGCUCUGCCAUUUAAUAGCUGAAUGGCCUCUGGCAAGUUAUUCUAAAUCUUUGUUUCCUCAGCUAUAAAUGAGGGUAAUGAUAGUAUGUACCUCAUGGUGUUAAAUUUGGAAUAUUAACUGAAGCACUAUUUUAAAGCACUUGGGACAGUUCAUGGUACAUACUAAGCAAUAAUUGAAAAUCCUGUUUAUUAUGUCCAUGACUCCAAAAACCGUAUAUUUUCUUCUAGGCAAAAUAUCAGAACCACAUAGCUUAAUGUGUUCAAAAUAACACUUUCACAGACUUUAAGUUAUUUGAUUUUUAUAAGACCCUUUUAGAUGAGUAAUGCUAUAUUACUACAAAUAUGUAUUUUUAAAAUGAGAAGCUUAAAGGUCAUGGUGAUUAGGUAACUUGUCCCUGGCUGCUCAUCUAAAUGUGGGUUAAAGGUGAGCUAAAGCUAGGACUUCAAUGCAUCUCUCUCGACACCUUCUCCCGACUUCUGUUCCAUCAUUCUGUAUUGUUUCUUUUCAGGAGUCCUAUUCACUUGCAGUGUAUAUUCUAUCCACCCCCAUGUGUGUUGUGGUGUGUUUGAGUGAUGGGUUAUACCUUAACUUGGCUUGUCAAGUUAGACGGUGGUAUGUUCAGCAAACUCAAACUAAUAUCUCAUCUUUUUGUAUAUUUUUGGUUUUCCCCAAAAUGGUAUAUUUUAAGUUGUGUUUUGGUCACACACAAAAAAGCAAGUUAAAAACAAAACCAAGGGAG
ensembl:lncRNA